rnacentral:rRNA from 1 species
UACGUAGGUGGCAAGCGUUGUCCGGAAUUAUUGGGCGUAAAGCGCGCGCAGGCGGUUUGCUAAGUCCAUCUUAAAAGUGCGGGGCUUAACACCGUGAUGGGAUGGAAACUGGCAGACUGGAGUAUCGGAGAGGAAAGCGGAAUUCCUAGUGUAGCGGUGAAAUGCGUAGAGAUUAGGAAGAACACCGGUGGCGAAGGCGGCUUUCUGGACGACAACUGACGCUGAGGCGCGAAAGCGUGGGGAGCAAACAGG